CUAGGUUACUCCUCCUGCCCUAUAUGGUACACAUUGUCAAUUUAUCAUACCCUUCUUGUAAUGAUGUUCUGUACGUCCCACAAACAUCGCAAUAAAAAGCAAUCUCAAAACAGCCACAAGUUGACCAACACCGACAGAGCUUCUGAUAGACGCGGAAGUCUUGCAAAACCUUCCAGCAGCCUUAUAGCGUUAAAUCAUAACAUGGAAACACGCUACUUUGUUUCCUGUUGCAGGUCUGCCAAAACGCACUCCGAGAAGAGAAAGGGUGAAUUUUGUCUUUCGGUUGGAAGUAGGCAACCGUCAGUAGGAUUGUGCAAUUCACUAAAUCUCCUUGCACUAUGCGGUUGCAUCUUCCAGCAGCACCAGCGAUUUGCGGCGAAACUCAUUGUUCUUUGAUCUACUGCAAGAGGGUAAUUUGGGGUUUGAUUCGGCUAGGGCAUUUUCCGCCAUUCAAUUGUGGCAUAUUACGCUAUUUAUCAAGUACAUUAACUAGUGGACCGAACCGGUGAAACAUGUGCUGAUCGUCGACGUCUCUGUUCCAUCCAAAUCACGCGCUAAGACAGCCGCCGUCACCGGACCAAACAUCUCUAGAAGAUAAUACAUAGUUUUGGUGCAGGAGGGAAUCUUCUUUGCACAGUCAUUUUCAGCGCAUUUUCCCUGACGUAUUACGAAAUUGCAAAGCAAGGACGACACCAACAAAGAUUCUCGGAUGCUUGGCUACGAACUGAACCCGACAAAUGUAGCUAUGAAGAAGACGAGCAGCGUUGCGACGACGUUGACUGUCCGGCUCUCCCUGUUGGACGCGCUGGAUCUCGAGUAUGCACUGCACAGGGCCGUGUCUAACGGUUCGAAGGCAUUGUACCCCAUGAAGGAAUCAAAACGAUACAACAGAGAAUUGUCAGAACUCUCCCGAUUUGCAACAUUUGCAAGUUUUGCAACAGACGGAGAGAUCAUGUUACUUGUACGAAGUGGAAUGGGUUUAUCCCUCCCAAGGCUGAUUCGGUUGGUAUGCUUACGUCCAGACACCUAUGCACAGCACACAUCCAUAAAGGAUAGCAAGUAACAGCGAGCUCGCAAGGUUUCGGAUGCACAGAUCAACACUUUAAAAGGUGUGGAAGGAAAACAUGGAUACAAUUUCGUAAGACCUUAAGAAACUGCCAUUCUUAAAGAUCCAUCAUCCCUUAUGUUGUUCGCACUUCGAAUUUCGGUUCACACUUUAUGAAAUCUUCAGAAGGCAAUCCAGUUAUAUCGACGUGGUUAAAAUGCACUAAUACGUCGAGAGGACUACCGGUAGAAAGUACCAGCGCACUCGAGACGGUGCCAAGGAUUUACGUUAGUAGUGAUAUUGAAGAUCUGCGGGCUGUUGCCACGACCUGUCACGACUAUUCAAAGUGGGACCAGCUUGUGCGCUCAUGACAGCUUCGUUCGAGCACGGACCAUGGGAUAGAUACAUCAAAAUAAAACAAACACACCGUGGGAUACUAGGCUGAAACACACACUUGCACAUAACUGGAAGUCGGAUGCACCAUUUAUCAUACAAGCUAACAUGAUU